GAUGAACGCUAGCUACAGGCUUAACACAUGCAAGUCGAGGGGUAACGAGAGGAAAGCUUGCUUUCCUUGUCGACGACCGGCGCACGGGUGAGUAACGCGUAUCCAACCUGCCCCCAACUAAGGAAUAACCUUGCGAAAGUAAGACUAAUACCUUAUAAUUUCCUCAGAUGACAUCUGACGAGGAAUAAAGAUUUAUCGGUUGUGGAUGGGGAUGCGUCUGAUUAGCUUGUUGGCGGGGUAACGGCCCACCAAGGCAACGAUCAGUAGGGGUUCUGAGAGGAAGGUCCCCCACAUUGGAACUGAGACACGGUCCAAACUCCUACGGGAGGCAGCAGUGAGGAAUAUUGGUCAAUGGGAGGAAGCCUGAACCAGCCAAGUAGCGUGCAGGAUGACGGCCCUAUGGGUUGUAAACUGCUUUUAUACAGGAAUAAAGUUAGCCACGUGUGGUUAUUUGUAGGUACUGUAUGAAUAAGGACCGGCUAAUUCCGUGCCAGCAGCAGCCGCCG
rnacentral:rRNA from 1 species